UGCUAAACGGAACUCAUCUCUCCUCAUCCCCACCAUCAGUAUUCUCUCCACAAAGGUCUGAUCGGAGAACUACCCCGCUUAGCAACGAUAUUCGAUCUCUCCUAUCGCCAUAAAUACAGGAAAAGAAGAACAUUUUUAGCUGAAUGAUUAUUUGGAGGAUCUUUGCUAGCUAUGUGCUCAAAUAAUUUAUUAUGUUUCCAUGACUGGGCUGAGUGUUGAUUGAUUCAAUGGAUUGAUGUCAAUGUUAAAUGACACUGAUGCACCUUGCUUCUCACUUUGAUUGAGUACAUAACACUAGUGAUACGUGAAGAACUUGAACGGGCUGGUGAACUUUUGCCAUCAAUUCAUUAUAUGUUUUAAAUGGGUUUGAUUUUUUUUUAAUUUAAUUGUUAAUUUUUGGAUAUAUUUGUCAAUCGGUUCUGGCAACAGAACCGUUUACACGAGAUCCGUUUAACUCGGUUCCGAACCGAACCGAACCGGUUUUAAAUGAUCCGGUUCCGGCUCUUAUAGAUUUGAUAUUAUAAUGAUUGAAAAGUUGAACUUGUUUAUCAAGGAGCUUGUUAAGGAAAAGGAUGAAGAAAAAGAAAGGUUAAAUGGAAUUAUUGUGGGAUUGUUGGCUGAAAAAGAAAAUGAUUAGGUGGAUA
rnacentral:lncRNA from 1 species